GAGGAUGGAACUGUCAACCCAGACCAAAGAGAACUCUCCGCUCCAGAUCACUGUAAUCUUCCCCCAUAUCAUCUAGGGACUGGGGGAGCCCCUUUUAGCCCUAUAAAGCCAUGCUCGCUCUGUGGUUCCAUUUGGAAUUACCACCAAUGGGAAGAUCCUUGGACCAGCCACCCUAGCCCUUGGGAUUCCCAUUCUGCAGCCAGUGCCCACCAAAGCCCAGUCAGUGUCUCCAGUGCAGACCCUGCCCUGCUGCUGCCUUGGCGGUGUGAUGGGGGGCAAGGGAGAGAACUAGCCUCUGCCCUUGGCCAAGAUACACUAACACAGAGGAGUAAUUGAGCUUGAUUCAUCUGCACUGGGAGUGAAAUCAGCCUUGGUCUUCUAAUCUUCUAUCCAUGACAGAGACAUAUGGUAACACCUCAUUUAUCUGCACCAAUAGGGA